UACGGGAGGCAGCAGUAGGGAAUUUUGCGCAAUGGGCGAAAGCCUGACGCAGCAACGCCGCGUGUACGUUAAACCCCUCGGGGCGUAAAGUACUGUCAGUGGGGACGAAUUUUGACGGUACCCACAGAGGAAGCACCGGCUAACUCCGUGCCAGCAGCCGCGGUAAU
rnacentral:rRNA from 1 species